CUACGUGCCAGCAGCCGCGGUAAUACGUAGGGUGCGAGCGUUAAUCGGAAUUACUGGGCGUAAAGCGGGCGCAGACGGUUACUUAAGCAGGAUGUGAAAUCCCCGGGCUCAACCUGGGAACUGCGUCCUGAACUGGGUGACUAGAGUGUGUCAGAGGGAGGUAGAAUUCCACGUGUAGCAGUGAAAUGCGUAGAGAUGUGGAGGAAUACCGAUGGCGAAGGCAGCCUCCUGGGAUAACACUGACGUUCAUGCUCGAAAGCGUGGGUAGCAAACAGGAUUAGAUACCCUGGUAGUCCACGCCGUAAACGAUGAGUGCUAGGUGUUAGACCCUUUCCGGGGUUUAGUGCCGCAGCUAACGCAUUAAGCACUCCGCCUGGGGAGUACGACCGCAAGGUUGAAACUCAAAGGAAUUGACGGGGGCCCGCACAAGCGGUGGAGCAUGUGGUUUAAUUCGAAGCAACGCGAAGAACCUUACCAGGUCUUGAC
rnacentral:rRNA from 1 species